UAGCAAGGCAGAACUUAGGUAGGCAGGGAAAUCUAGACUGCUGGAAGAAUAAAGGUCAGAGACAGAGAGAAGACAUGGAGCUGCCAUCGGACACAGAAGCUGGAACUUCACCAGGAGAGAUUCAACUAUGACAUUUGUACAGGAUCCCUUCACCGCGUUUGACCCCCACAAUCCCGUACACGUACUCAAACUUCGGCUGUUCCACUGACUCUCCACAGAACAGAGAAAACUUGCCAACAAAACAGCCUCAAUUUUCUGUAGAAAAAGCCCAGUUAUUUUAGUACAGUUUAAUUUUUAAAAACAAAUGGGGAGUUUCAAUCAGACAUCCCCCCCCCCUUUUUACUUUAGGUCUUGAAAGACUUUAGUAAAUUGCUCAGUCUGGC